GUUGAUUAUCUUGUUUUUAUUUUAUAGGUUGUUUAUUUUUAAUUAAAAUAAUAUUUUGUUGUUGUAUUUGGUUUUAAUUUGAUUUUUUUACUAUAGUUUAUUUGUACCGUGAGGGGUAGAGUUUAAUGUUUUUUUAAAAGCUGAUUUUGUAUGUCGUACCUUGUGUAUCAGGGUUCAUUGAAUUUUAUUAUUUAUUUUUAUUUCCCGAUUUUGAAGGAGUUAAUGGCUUAUGUUAGUUACUGUUUCAUUAGUAUUAAUAAUAGGUUAUUGGUAGUGAAAUGUUAUUCGUCUUUGGUGGUUUCUGGUUUUUCAAGAAAUGAAUUUAAUUCAUACAUCUUAUUUAAUUUCUGUUGUUGUUUAAUUUAUUUUUAUUUGAUGUUAAGAUUGAGGGGGAUUAGCUCCCCAUUUUAUUUUUAUAAUUGAUUAUUGGUUAAUUUAGUUUUGUGGAUUUUAUGGUGAUUUUCUAUUUGAUUAUGUUAAAAUUUUAUUUGUUCUUCUUUUGUAUUUUUUGUUAUUUAAGUAAUUUAUUGAAAUGUUUUCUUUAAUUUUUGGUUUGUAUAGUAAUUAUUGUGGAAUUAGUAAAUUUUAUUUAUUGUUUUGUGUGAGUUAGGAAAAAAAUUGAUGUUAAUUGCUUUUGAGGAAUUAGGCAAAUUUUUUAUAUCCGCCUGUUUAGCAAAAACAUCUUUUCUUGUUAGUUUUUGAAGUAUGGCCUGCCCACUGACUGUUGCUUUGAAGGGCCGCGGUAUUUUGACCGUGCAAAGGUAGCAUAAUCAUUAGUUCUUUAAUUGUGAUCUAGUAUGAAUGGUUUGACGAGAUAUAAGCUAUCUUAGAGGUAUAGUUUGUUGAAUUUGGUUUUUGAGUUAAAAUUCUUAAAUGUUUUUGUGGGACGAGAAGACCCUAUAGAGUUUAACAUUUUUCUUAUUUAUGUAUUGUUUGUUUAUUUUUAUUGAGUGGGAGAAGCUUGUUUUGUUGGGGUGAUGGGAGAAAUAAUGUUUAACUUCUCUUUAUUUUUUUAUAUUUAUAUAUAUAUAUUUGAUCCAUUUAUUUUGAUUAUAAGAUUAAAUUACCUUAGGGAUAACAGCGUUAUCUUCCUUGAGAGUUCUUAUUGGCGGGGGGGUUUGCGACCUCGAUGUUGGAUUAAGGUGAAUUUUCGGUGCAGGAGCUGAAAGUGAUUGGGUCUGUUCGACCUUUAAAAUCUUACAUGAUCUGAGUUCAGACCGGCGUGAGCCAGGUUGGUUUCUAUCUACAGAUUUAUUUUAUGUCUUAGUACGAGAGGACCAGAUAUUUGGAAUAAUUUCAUUUUAUAUUGGGUUUCGUUAAUGUGAUACUAUUUUGGCAGACAAGUGCAUUGGAUUUAGAAUCUAUU
rnacentral:rRNA from 1 species